UACAGAGGUCUCAAGCGUUGUUCGGAAUUACUGGGCGUAAAGGGAGCGUAGGCGGCGUGGUAAGUCAGAUGUGAAAUCCCGGGGCUCAACCCCGGAACUGCAUCCGAUACUGCCGUGCUUGAGGGUUGGAGAGGUAGCUGGAAUUAUCGGUGUAGCAGUGAAAUGCGUGGAUAUCGAUAGGAACACUCGUGGCGAAGGCGAGCUACUGGACAACAUCUGACGCUGAGGCUCGAAGGCUAGGGGAGCAAAAGGG
rnacentral:rRNA from 1 species